UACAGAGGGGGCGAGCGUUGUUCGGAAUUACUGGGCGUAAAGGGCGCGUAGGCGGCCUUCUAAGUCGAACGUGAAAUCCCCGGGCUCAACCCGGGAACUGCGUCCGAUACUGGGAGGCUUGAAUCCGGGAGAGGGAUGUGGAAUUCCAGGUGUAGCGGUGAAAUGCGUAGAUAUCUGGAGGAACACCGGUGGCGAAGGCGGCAUCCUGGACCAAUAUUGACGCUGAGGAGCGAAAGCCAGGGGAGCAAACGGG
rnacentral:rRNA from 1 species